GGGGUGUCCAACUCAAUCGCACAAGGGGCCUAAAUCCAAAACACACCUUAGGUCUCGGGACGAACAGGAUAAACAUGUCACGGCUGAGCUCCACUCAGCCCCUCCUUCCCUGCCUUGCUGAGCUGCAGUGAUCGCUCAUCUGCCUCACCUGUUCUGCCAGAUACUUAAACCUUGCCUCUCCAGCCUUCUCCUGUCAGAUUCUUCACGCCCUCAAAGCCCAUGCAAUGUCCAGAUUCUUGAUCCUAAUCUUACAUUCAGCUCUGAAAUCUCCGCUCUGCCUUCAGGUGUUCGGUUUGAAGGUGUCUCACCUGUAUCCGAUGUCUUCCCAUCCUCGGUCCUCCUGGUGAAAACGCUGCAUGGACCUCAUGUUCCGUGAGCAGUUUGGAAAGGACAAACAGGGCGAUGAGGGCAGGUAGGUGUGGUGGACGUAAAGAUACUGGAGGGGGAGGGAAAGUGGGACCGGCGUCCCCCGCUGUGGUUUGGCUCCCCACUGACAGCGAGGGAUGAUCUGAGGGCAUUCUGUCCGUGGAAGAGGUCAAAGGUUAGACAACCAUCACAGAUUGAACAACAGGCUGGUGUGAGCUCAGAACUGUAAAUAAUGUAAGACAACAUUCUCAUUUAUGUCCCAUGGUGCACCUGUGUUUGUGGUUCUUUUAAUCAAUCAGUUGUGGAUACCUGCUACUACUAAAAAACGAGAAAGGAAUUUCUUUUUAGUAGUUUGGUGCCUUUUCUGACUGAAAAAGAAGGCCUAGUGUUGGAUGUAAAUAAAUUAUUUUAUUUAUCAAUUUCAGGAAAUCUAUUUCCUGUAUAACAAUUGCUGCGCUCAUUCUCUAGUUGCAGCAGCGAUUUGAAUGACCUUUGAAAAGUUGAAGCCUUUGCCUUACGGGUGGUUGACCUGAACAGAUGCUGCAGGUCUUUGUAAUGUUCAAGCUCAUAGAGACGAGCGGACGCAUCUUAAGUGGAGCACAAGUGGAUCUCACGUUUUCUGUGACGUGAGAACUCAGCCAAGAACUACAUAGAAGGAGCUGAUCAAUGACCUAAAAAGAGCUGGGACCACCGUUUCCAUGGUUACUAUUGGUAACACACUAAGACGUCACGGUUUGAAAUCAUGCAUGAUAUGGAAGGUUCCCCUGCUUAAACCAGCUCAUGUCCAAGUUUGCCAAAAUGGAACUUUUUGGUCUUUAUUCAAUUCCUCGUGUUUGGCAGAAGAAGAAUGAUGAGGAUGAUCUAUAGAACCUCAUCCCUACUAUGAAGCAUGGGGGUGGUAGCAUCAUGUUAUGGGUGUUUUUCUGCACAUGGAACAGGACAACUGGAGAGGAUGACCGGGUCAACGUAUAAUGAGAUUUUCCUUCAGUGGCUGGGCCUUCCAAGGUGACAAUGACCUGAAGCACACAGCCAGCAGAACCAAGGACUGGUUCUGUAGGAAGCAGAUCAAGGUUCUGGAGUGGUCUAGCCAGUCUCCAGACCUAAUAGAAAAUCCUUAGAGGGAGCUCAAACUCUCAGCUAGAGCCUUGAAACCUGACUAAUCUAGAGAAGAUCUGUGAGGAGGAGUGGACCAGAAUCCCUCCUGCAGUGUGUGCAAACCUGCAGAAAAACUACAGGAAACGUUUGACCUGUAUAACCACAAACAAAGGCUAUUGUACCAAAUAUUGAUUAUGUAGCAGUAGCAAACAAAUAAAUUAUUAAACAAAUCUAACAAUGGGAUUUUUAGAUUUGUUUUUUUUUAGAUGAUGUCUCUCAGUGGACAAGAUGAAAACUUCAGACCCCUCUUUGAUUUCUAAAUGGGAGAACUUCCAAUAUCAUUGGGGGUACAAAUACUUAUUUCCAACAAAGUAUCAGAAAGUAUUUGUUGGUAAAAUUUAAAUUGUGACGUACAAAUGAUGCUGUAGUACGCUGCCCUUAUACCGCUUUCUAGUCGUUAGUAAGAUGCGAGUACUGGCUCCCUAUUGGCCAUACGCAAACAUGGCACACAUGGGUAGUACACGUGAUAUGCAAGUACCAGGAGGAUGUCCGUACUAACUACAAUGUCUAUUUAUGGAGUGAUACUUCUGCCUUUAUUGCAAGCAAAAGUCACAGUUUUGAGAUCAAAAUGAACUUUUUUCCGUUUUUUUUGCUUGUAAAAAAACCUUUUUUUUUCCUUAAAAAAUGUUUUUGCAAAAAAAAAACAUUUUUAGAUGCAUAGUACCUCAUCUCGCUUUCACCCUAUCUUUGGCAUCGUUACUUUUGUUCCACCCCAGAGCGCCUGCCGAUUGUAAGACGUAACGCUGAGAGAAAAAGUUGAACGCAAAGCCAAAGAUCGGGUGAAAGCGAGAUGAGGCAUUACGUAUCUAAAAACAUUUGUGUGCUAUUUUUAUUUAUUUUUUAUUAUUUUUUUUUAAGAAAAAAAUGUUUGAAAAUGCCAAAAUAAACAAAAAACGUUGGAAAUGGAAAAAAUACUUUUGCAAGCAAAAAAAAAAAAUUUCAAAGCAAAUUGUCAUGAUUCAACUAUCAGUUCACACUUCCGUCCACCAGAGGGAGCCCUCGCCAGAGUUUUGACCUCCACUGCCUCACUACAAGUCCCAUCAGCCACUUCCCUUCCAGUACAGCUGAUCACCAUUAGCUCAUCAGUACCAUCCAGCAUUUAAACAACCACCAGCCACUUCUGUUUUGUGAAGUCUUGUUUGGCCUAGCAGACAUUCUGAGCAGUAUAAUUCCUAGUGACCUCCUCUGUGUACUGUCUUUUGCCUUGUUUAUCUGCCUCACCCUUGUGAUUUUGACCUUUGCCUGUAUUUAGACUACGUAUUAUGUCUUGCUCGUGCUCAACUUCAUUAAAAUGUUAACAUAUGGAUCCAAAGAACUCCGUCCCUGCUUUACACAAAUAUAAAAUAUUUUUUGCAACACUUUACAUUUUGUUCGCAACUCAGAAAAUUAGGAUCUCUAAACUAUGACUUUUGCUUGCAAUAUGAUGGCACAAAUAUCACUCCAUAUCUAAUUUCCUAAUUUACAAGUGUCACAUGAAAAGCACUAAAGGGUUCGUUGCACAUUCUACAGAAUUUGGAGGAUUAAAAAGAUACAAUCUGUACGACACGCCUGCUUCUCAUCUACUUCCUCCUUACAGGUCGUGUAAGAGUUUGUCCGUGAACAUUUUCUCUCUUCUGGUUCACUAUGUGGUCUACGAUCUUGAUAUUUGUUGGGGGCCACCUGCU